CACAGCUUCUUUAAUCAUCUGUUGAUGGACUCUUAGGUUGCUUCCAUGUUUUGAUUGUUGUAAGUAAUGCUGCUAUUGAUAAGGAAUCUACCGCCAUUUUAGAUGAGCUUCCCCAUUUUGAAUCUUUGCUUGCCUAACCAAACGCACAUCCUGCUUCUGUAACUCCGCCUGCUGCUUUCGCGCCACAGGAAAGUCCCGCCCUGUGUACUGUAAAGCUGCGCUGAGCUCGCAGUUGGGGGCCCAGAAUUUGGAGCCUGCCUCUUCUGGGUCUGCAUGUGUGAAAUAAAUUUAUCACUUCGCCUCCUCUGGUGUUCGAUUUGAGUCUUUCUGUAACAUUUUGGUUCUCUGACCGGGAAACGACUCACGCGAGCAGGCUUUUUGCCACCAGUGAGGGACCCGUGGGAGUCUGUGGAGCUCUGGGGCAGGGAGGGAAGCGUGUGCUCCGGUUAUUUCGGGUCCUAGCCCGUCCGGAGUUCCGCGGAAGGUCGCUGGCGGAGUCCACCCACCCAGGCUGUCGGAGGGGGUGAAUGAACCCGAACACGGGGACGAGAUCUCUUCAGGACUGAUUGCAGGAACAGCACCCUGGGUCCACCAUACCCGGGUUAAGGGAGCAGCGGAUCGCGAGGCCAACGAAGAUUCUGAGGACCAUUCCCGACUGCGGCUGCCCCCAUUGAAACUGAGGAAGGGACCAACCCGUGGAUGGACCAUUGUCCAGAAUGGUACCUCGCAGCCGCAGGACUCCUCGCCACCAUCUUCAGAAUAGGGCUAGUGACAACGGCACCCCCGGACUGGAACUUAUGGGAACGUUUAGCUCUCAGAGGACUAUACCUUGGUUUUGUUUGCUCAUGUGGCUAUGUAG